UACGAAGGGGGCUAGCGUUGUUCGGAAUUACUGGGCGUAAAGCGCGUGUAGGCGGGUCUUUAAGUCAGGGGUGAAAUGCCAGGGCUCAACCUUGGAACUGCCUUUGAUACUGGAGACCUUGAGUCCGGGAGAGGUGAGUGGAAUUGCGAGUGUAGCGGUGGAAUGCGUAGAGAUCCGGAAGAACACCGGUGGCGAAGGCGGCCUGCUGGGCUAUGGCUGACACUGAGGCGCGACAGCGUGGGGAGCAAACAGG
rnacentral:rRNA from 1 species